rnacentral:rRNA from 1 species
GACGAACGCUGGCGGCGUGCUUAACACAUGCAAGUCGAACGGAAUGGCCCUGCUUUUGUGGGGUGCUCGAGUGGCGAACGGGUGAGUAACACGUGAGUAACCUGCCCUUGACUUUGGGAUAACUUCAGGAAACUGGGGCUAAUACCGGAUAGGAGCUCCUGCUGCAUGGUGGGGGUUGGAAAGUUUCGGCGGUUGGGGAUGGACUCGCGGCUUAUCAGCUUGUUGGUGGGGUAGUGGCUUACCAAGGCUUUGACGGGUAGCCGGCCUGAGAGGGUGACCGGCCACAUUGGGACUGAGAUACGGCCCAGACUCCUACGGGAGGCAGCAGCGGGGAAUAUUGCACAAUGGGCGGAAGCCUGAUGCAGCAACGCCGCGUGCGGGAUGACGGCCUUCGGGUUGUAAACCGCUUUCGCCUGUGACGAAGCGUGAGUGACGGUAAUGGGUAAAGAAGCACCGGCUAACUACGUG